GAGCACUAGCUGUGGGCCCUUCCUCUCCUUUCUCCCGACUAAAAGUCUGACCCCGGCGCCGCUUGAGGCCUGUUUGCAGAACUGGCAAAAACCAGCACCAUGCCCAUGACACUGGGGUACCGGGACCUCCACGGGCUGGCCCACACCAUCCGCCUACUCCUGGAAUACACAGACUCAAGCUACGAGGAAAAGACCUACACGAUGGGGGACACUCCUGACUAUGACAGAAGCCAGUGGCUGAAGGACAAAUUCAAGCUGGGCCUGGACUUUCCCAAUCUGCCCUACUUGAUUGAUGGGGCUCACAAGAUCACCUAGAGCAACGCCAUCCUGCACUACAUUGCCCGCAAGCACAACCUGUGUGGGGAGACAGAAGAGGAGAAGAUUAGUGUGGACAUUUUGGAGAACCAGACCAUGGACACCCGGAUGAAGCUAGUCAUGAUCUGCUACGACCCAGAAUUUGAGAAACUGAAGCCAAAGUACUUGGAGGAACUCCCUGAAAAGUUAAAGCUUUACUCACAGUUUCUGGGGAAGUGGCCACGGUUUGCAGGAGAUAAGAUCACCUUUGUGGAUUUCCUCGCCUAUGACAUCCUUGACUACAGCCGUAUAUUUGAGCCCCACUGCCUGGAUGCCUUCCCAAACCUGAAGGACUUCAUCUCCUGAUUUGAGGGUCUGAAGAAGAUCUCUGCCUACAUGAAGUCCAGCAGUUUCAUCCCAGGUCUUUUGUUUGGAAAGUCAGCUACAUGGAACAGCACAAAAGGCCCGGGUUGCCAGAAGAUGGGAGGGAGGGGCCGACCCUGCUGCCUGGGCAGAAGGCUGGAGAACAGCCUGACUCCCAGGACCAGACUUCUUCCUUUUUCCAUCUUUCCACUGUCUUCUCUUCCCCAAGGUUUCACUGUCUACCUUUCUUCUAACAUGAGCCCUCCCUGCACUGAGGCUCUUUAAAGCUUCAGCUCCUCACUCUCCUCCACCAAAGUCCCCCUCCUAACAUCUCCCUUUUCCUGCACUAACGCCAACCUGACUGCCUUUCCUCAGUGCUUGUCUCUUCUUUGAGAAGCCAGACUGAUCCCUGAGUUCCCCAGCACUGUCCUCAAAGACCGUCUACAUACCCUGAUCCCUUUGCUGUGUCUCUAUACCUCAGCCCUGUGUGAUGCCCAAUAAAGCCUUAACCGUG